CUACGUGCCAGCAGCCGCGGUAAUACGGAAGGUCCGGGCGUUAUCCGGAUUUAUUGGGUUUAAAGGGAGCGUAGGCCGGAGAUUAAGUGUGUUGUGAAAUGUAGACGCUCAACGUCUGACUUGCAGCGCAUACUGGUUUCCUUGAGUACGCACAACGUUGGCGGAAUUCGUCGUGUAGCGGUGAAAUGCUUAGAUAUGACGAAGAACUCCGAUUACGAAGGCAGCUGACGGGAGCGCAACUGACGCUUAAGCUCGAAGGUGCGGGUAUCGAACAGGAUUAGAUACCCUGGUAGUCCGCACAGUAAACGAUGGAUGCCCGCUGUUGGUACCUGGUAUCAGCGGCUAAGCGAAAGCAUUAAGCAUCCCACCUGGGGAGUACGCCGGCAACGGUGAAACUCAAAGGAAUUGACGGGGGCCCGCACAAGCGGAGGAACAUGUGGUUUAAUUCGAUGAUACGCGAGGAACCUUACCCGGGCUUGAA
rnacentral:rRNA from 1 species